CCUACGGGUGGCUGCAGUAGGGAAUCUUCCGCAAUGGACGAAAGUCUGACGGAGCAACGCCGCGUGAACGAUGAAGGCUUUCGGGUCGUAAAGUUCUGUUGUUAGGGAAGAACAAGUACCGGAGUAACUGCCGGUACCUUGACGGUACCUAACCAGAAAGCCACGGCUAACUACGUGCCAGCAGCCGCGGUAAUACGUAGGUGGCAAGCGUUGUCCGGAAUUAUUGGGCGUAAAGCGCGCGCAGGCGGUUCCUUAAGUCUGAUGUGAAAGCCCCCGGCUCAACCGGGGAGGGUCAUUGGAAACUGGGGAACUUGAGUGCAGAAGAGGAGAGCGGAAUUCCACGUGUAGCGGUGAAAUGCGUAGAGAUGUGGAGGAACACCAGUGGCGAAGGCGGCUCUCUGGUCUGUAACUGACGCUGAGGCGCGAAAGCGUGGGGAGCGAACAGGAUUAGAUACCCUGGUAGUC
rnacentral:rRNA from 1 species